rnacentral:rRNA from 1 species
UACGGAGGGUGCAAGCGUUGUUCGGAAUUACUGGGCGUAAAGCGCGUGUAGGCGGUCUUUUAAGUCUGGUGUGAAAGCCCGGGGCUUACCCCCGGAAGUGCACUGGAAACUGGGAGACUAGAGUACCGGAGAGGAGGGUGGAAUUCCUGGUGUAGCGGUGAAAUGCGUAGAUAUCAGGAGGAACACCGGUGGCGAAGGCGGCCCUCUGGACGGAUACUGACGCUGAGACGCGAAAGCGUGGGGAGCAAACAGG